GUGUCAGCAGCCGCGGUAAUACGGAGGCUGCAAGCGUUAUCCGGAUUCAUUGGGUUUAAAGGGUGCGUAGGCGGAAUUGUAAGUCAGUGGUGAAAGCCUGCAGCUUAACUGCAGAAUUGCCAUUGAUACUGCAAAUCUUGAGUACAUUUGAUGUGGGCGGAAUAUGUCAUGUAGCGGUGAAAUGCUUAGAUAUGACAUAGAACACCUAUUGCGAAGGCAGCAUACUACGGAAAUAUUGACGCUGAGGCACGAAAGUGUGGGGAUCAAACAGGAUUAGAUACCCUGGUAGUCCACACCGUAAACGAUGGAUACUCGACAUACGCGAUACACAGUGUGUGUCUGAGCGAAAGCAUUAAGUAUCCCACCUGGGAAGUACGACCGCAAGGUUGAAACUCAAAGGAAUUGACGG
rnacentral:rRNA from 1 species